CCUACGGGAGGCAGCAGUGGGGAAUCUUGCGCAAUGGGCGAAAGCCUGACGCAGCGACGCCGCGUGAGGGAGGAAGGCCUUCGGGUUGUAAACCUCUUUCAGGAGGGACGAAGCUACUCGGGUGAAUAGCCCAGAGGGUGACGGUACCUCCAGAAGAAGCCCCGGCUAACUACGUGCCAGCAGCCGCGGUAAU
rnacentral:rRNA from 1 species